UGAUGAGAAGCAUAAGCCAAGAAAGUUAGUCAUGGCUAGGAUGUUAGCAAAGAGCUUGCAGGCCGGGGAUCCUGUUUUUGAAAUAGUUUCCCGAGCUGUUUAUCUGGCUCUAAGGGGAAUUGUGCUUGGGGGAAGUGGACCCUGGGGAAGAAAAUUGUCACAGACGGCACUCCGGUCAAUUGGAGCUGUCAUGCUGGCAGAAAGAGUGGUGGCAACUGCUGAAGUAUUAGUGGUGGCAGCUACCGUAUCAAUCGGCGUUCACAGGCCAUGGUAUGUAACUCUGACCGAUAACAUGUGAUGUAUUCGUGCUGUGUAAGAGAGGUGAAUAAAUAAUUCAUGCACGCUGUACAGGGAACUGUGUGUAAGUAAAGCUUGUGAUUAAUUGCAGUUGUAGAUGGGAUAACGUGGGGGUGUGAUGUAAGAAUUCUUCUCGUGUAAUGGAACAAGAAGAUGCUGUAAAUAUUAUUUAAGAUAACAUCAAAGCUUCUGCUUGUUUAUUUAUUUAUUUAUUUUUUAAAAUAAAGUUUCAUAUAAAUCCUUAAGAGAAUUUAUUUGGUAUGAAUGCAUUGAAGAACUAGUCAAUAUAUAAGAAAAAAGAUUUAUAAAUUUUUUUGUUAGGUUAUAUUGAAUUUGUAAAUAAUGUAAAGCUAAUGUUACUAUUUUUGAGACUAAAAGUUGGUAGAGCUCUUAAUAAAACUCUUGAAUGAAGGAAUCUCUUGGAAAAUAUAAUUUAGGAUUAUUAUAUAAUGAUAGUAAUUACAGUAGGAAAAACACUGUAAUUUUUAAUUUUAAGAGAUCUGAUAGUAAACAGCCAUAAAUAAACGGAUAUAUCUCAUCUAUUAAUUAUUUUAUAUCUUUAGGUAUUUUUUAGUGCAAGCAACAUUAACAUGCCUUAAUAAUCAAAUAAACUAAAUUAUAAAUUCCGGACCUUUAUACAAAAUUACUUUGAUUAAAAAAUAGAAAAAAUCAAUUUAAUAAAUUUCAAGUUAUUUUUCAAAACAGUCCUCUAGUUUAGACAUUGCAAAUAAUUGAUCUAAUGCGUUAUAAAUGCCUUCAGAUUGCGGGUGUGAUUCAUCACCAGCCAAAAACUCGUGAAACUGGCCCUCAACUUCUACAAUGCUACGCCCAGGGAUCUUCUUCACCCUCCUCUCCCUCAUCAUUCUUCUUGCCAUUUUGACAUCACCCCAUCUUCGCCCACUGGCCCAAAUAUUAGCUAGCAGAACAUAGAUACCGCUGUCUUCAGGGUCCAGCUCCAAGAGUCUAGGAGCAGCAAUCUUCGCUACUUCAACAUUCCCAUGCAUCCUACAAGCGUGGACUAGGGCACCCCAUGCAGCUGCACUUGGCUCCAUUGGCAUCUUGGUUAUUAGCUCGUAUGCAUCUUCUAGGAGUCCAACUCGACCGAGUAAAUCGAUCAUACAAGCAUAGUGUUCAUUCUUGGGUUCUAUACCAUACUUUCGUUUCAUGUUUUGAAAAUACUCUCGACCUUCGGCAACUAAGCCACCAUGACUGCAAGCUGACCCACCAAUGUAAUAUCAUCUGGCUUAAACCCUCCACUUAUCAUUUGCUCAAAAACAGUCAGAGCUUGCUUAGCGUGCCCAUGAGAAGCAUAAGCAGUAAUCAUGGAAUUCCAGGAGACCAAGUUUCUCUCUGGCAUGUCAUUAAAAACUUUUGCAGCUUCAUGUAGGACUCCGCAUUUAGCAUACAUGUCUAUGAGCGCAUUUGCUAAGAUCACACUGAUUUCGUUGUAUCUCAUUCUGACGUAGUUUCGAUGGAUCCACUGACCAACAUCAAGGCAACCCAAUUGACCACAAACAGGGAGCACACAAGCUAAUGUAUUCUCCAUUGGAACAAAUGCAGCCUCCAACAUGUUGUGAAACAAUUCUAAAGCUUCCUUAGGUUGGUUGUUUUGAGAGUACCCAGCAAUCAUGGCAUUCCAAGAAACCGCAUUCCUCUCAGGCAUCUCAUUAAACAAUGUUCUCGCCAUCUCUAGGUCACCGUUUUUAGCAUACCCGUUAACCAUACUUGUCCAUGAGAACACAUCUCUAACCCCCAUGGUAUCAAAAGUCUCUCUAGCAGAAUCCAAGCAGCCACAUUUCACAUACAUAUCCAAGAUUGCAUUCAUUAGAUUUAAGCUACGAGUCACAUUUCUUGUUUUUACAUACUCGUGAAAAGUCUUCCCCAAUAUCAAAUCCCCCUUCUGGGAGCAAGAUGAAAGAACUGCAAUCAUAGUAACCUCAUUUGGCUCGACACCACCAUACAUUAACAUGGAGUCAAAAAGUUUCAAGGCCUCAUCACACCAUUUAUGCUUAGAAUACCCAUCAAUCAUAGAAGUCCAAGACACAACAUCUCUUUCAGAGAUUUCAUCAAACACUUGACGUGCUAAAUCAAAACAACCACGCAAACCAUAAAAAUGAACCAACCCGUUUUGAACCAACAAAGUAUAAACAAAACCCAUCUUCCAAACAACACAAUGAACUGAUUUUCCUUCUAAGACUCCCCAAAGACUGCUCGCACGCCUUGAGCGCGAAAACAAAACUCCUACAGUCCAUUUCAACACCUUUCUGAACCAUUUGGCAGAAAAACAAGAAGCCAGUUUGGCCCAUUUUGGCUUUAGAGUAGCCUCUAAUCAUGGUAUUCCAAAUAUAAGUAUUGGGGUUUUGUAACUGGGAAAACAGGAUAUGGGCAUGGUUUAUAUCUCCAGAGUCAGAGAGAGCGCAAAAGGCUAAGACACGACUAACUGGGAAAGUGUGGGUAAUGAGAGCGGUUUUUGUCAUGUGAGCUUGGAUUUGCUUCAAUUGAAGCAUUGAAGUGCAUGAUUCCAUUGCUAAGAGAAUUGGGUGAGUGAUUAUGGUGUUGGUUGGUGAGUUCCAUUUGGUUGGUUUUGUUGACGUAGUCGAUGAGAAUUGCUUUAGAGACUGAGAAGUGAGAGAAGAGAUUAAAGUGGCAGUGGCGGUGGCUACGCUUCUUGAAGAUGACAAUAAUUGGUUCAUAUGAAUGGACUUUCUGUUCUUUGCCUGAAAUGUGAACUUUUAAAGUUUGAAGGCUGAUUUUGAUUCUAAUAUUUAGAGGUUAUUUGAGAGUGUGGCAGCGGUUGUUUUUUAAAUAGCUUUUCGUGUUGAAAAACAUGUCAAUAAUGUUUUUUUUAUUUUUUAAAAAUUAUUUUUGAUAUCAACACAUCAAAACGAUCUAAAAAGUACAAACUAAAUUUAAUUUAAAAAAAAAUUGAAAAUUUAUAAAAAAAUAAGUUACACCGCAGUGCCAAACGGCACCUUAAUUACAGUAGAGAAAACUUAUUUGCUUUUUAGCUUUUAUAUUUUUAUUUUUUUAAUAAUAAUAAUAAUAAUAAUAAUAAAUUCUCAGUUUCUUGUCACAUGAAUGAAUAAUUCAAGUGUUGUUGGUGAGCAAUUUCCGAGACAUUUCAAUUGUUGGGGGUUAUAAACCACUAUCUAUAUAUAAAUUAGUUUUUUUUUUUUGGCAAAUAAUCUAAGUUAAAUACACACAACAAUCAUGAGUAUAAGAGAAAUCAGUCACAAGAACACAACUAAAAAAUAUCAAAUUUACGUGAAAAUAACUUCAUCAUAUAAAAAAAAAUAUAAGGAGAAAUUUGGAAAUAAUUUACUAUAAUAAAGAAAGCAAUGCAAUCACUAAAGUUAUGAGAUCAAUGAAGUCUCCAUGUUCUUGUAAAGCUCAAUGCCAUUAUUAGAUCACCAUCUUGAACGCUAUAGUUAUCUAUGAUUGUUAUAUAUAUUAAUUCUAGAAAAAAAAACCCUAAUAUUUACUGCCACAAAUUUCAUUGCCUCUUUAUUAUAACAAUCCAAAAAAUCCUCUUUUCUUUUCUCUUUUAUUGCUCUCUCUUAGUGUAAAUUAAUCCCCGGUCUGAAUUUUUCGAUAUAUAUAUAAAAAAAGGCUGAGAUGGAAUGUCCGGCUUGUAAAAUGUAAACCCCCGGCUAAAGGAAUUCAUGGUAUUAAUGGAAUAUUAAGAAUUUUAACCCAGUAAUGCAAGGGUUAAUUUUUAAAAUUAUAAAUUAAACUAAAUGAAGAGGGGUGAAAUUGAAUAAGAGGAAGGAUAAAUAACACUAAUUUAGUAGAAAGAGAGAAUCUUGUGGGGAAAAAUAAAAACAUAAAAUUGCAAAUAGCAAAAAGUUGACUAUAAAUGCCCCCCUCUCAUUGUUGGCGGGGGGUUUAUGGUUUUCUUGGUUAAACCUUAGUAAAUCUUGGAAAAUUAAAUUAAAGAGGGUUAGUUUUAGUGAUCAAAAGGAAUUAAAAGAAGAUUUGAGUUAGAGAAAGUGAAGGUUUUCUAGGAUUUAUUGAGUAUUGAGGGAUGGUUUUGGGAGGAGAAGAGAAAAAAUGAGGAAAAAACUAGGAUCUUGGUUGAUUUCUUCUCAUUUAUUGGUGAUUAAGAGGUAAGAAGUAUAAACUAUUUGAUUUUGUUGUGGAUUUAUGCACUUUAAUGAAAUGUUAACUACUAUGGAAAGUUAGGGUUCAUGAAGAAUUGUUUGAAAUUAUUUGUUUAACACUUGAUACAUGUUAAAUGGGUAACAAAAGGAAUGAGUAAAGAGUUAAUUUAGGAAAACAAAUUAAAUAGGGGCAUGCUCCGCCAUGGUAGGGAUUUCGGCCAAGCUUCAAGCUUGGGUAUAGGGGGAUUUGAUUCAUUUGGUUUAAUUACCUUGAUAAUUGAUUUAACAAAUCAAGACUUGCUAAAUGAGGCAAUAAAUUAUAAUUAUAUCGAACAUUUCUUAAAUAUUUAGGCUCCUUAUUAGUUUUUAGGCUCCAGCUAUGCCUUGUACUGCUCUUUGUUUUGUUUGUGCUUGGAUUAUGCCUCAUGCUCUAUUACUCGAGCCUGAGCUUUGAGCGUAGACUUUCUUUAGGCUCCACCUACGAAAAUAUAUUUCAAAAUACAUAUAUAAACAAGCAAUCAAGAACAGCAACACAAUCAUUUAAUUAGCUAGAACGAUGCUAAUUAAUUAUGACUAGAAACAAUCAAGCAGAAACACAUAUAUAGCAUGAAUUUAAGGAAGCGCAUAUGUAGCUUGGAUCUCUCUCUUGUGCAUGUAUAUAUACAUGCAUAUGCCGGCUCCAACAUGCAAAUAAUAAUAACUAGUUAGCUCGAGGCACAUCACCCCAAACCUCCUUAUUGCCAAACAAUAUGAUUUUUCUCUUUGCUUCAAUCCUGAACUGUGACCCGAGGCGAUGGUCAUCCUCACGAAGAAGAACAGCCCUGUCACCAACUCUCAGUCCAUAGUCGGCAACAAAUUGAAGCCAGCCUAUUGAAAGCCAUGGCUUGACGUAAUCUCCAUUUCUCUUCCUGCAACGAAUGACCCGAAGCUCACCGCUGCUGUCUUUGACGUUCAAAUCAACAAAAAGUCCCCCUGCGAAAUCAAGAUACUGUAAAGAACGAGAUGGGAAUGAGAACUGAAAUUGGAUAUCAGUAUAUUUUAGCUCUUUGUUAAACACCUCCAUCUUGAUUUCUUUUGGGCUAUGGAGAGAGAGAGAGACAUUUAUAAUGAGCCAAAAAUAAGUCUAAGCUUGCUUCUUCGUGAGGAUACAGAAUCAAAUGAACAAAAGCUAAAAUUGAAUCAAUAAAGGCUAUUCUUCAAUGAGAGUGUCACUAGAAAUUGAAUCAAUAAAGGCUAUCCUUCACACUUGAGGGUGCAGCUGCUGUGGUCAAUCGUGUGACUUGUUCCGCCCCCAUCCCGGGUUCGACCUUUUAUGUGUACGCCUGUCACCCCCGCGGUGCCUUACAUGCUCAUUGGGCUUACAGGAUAUUCAGUGAACCCGGGAAUUAGUUGUGGUACGCGCAAGCUGGCCCGGACACUCCGGUUACUAAAAAAAUAAAUAAAUAAAUAAAGGCUAUCCUUCAAUAAAAUUGACCCAUGUAUUUAUUGAAGGGUCCAUUUUAUUGAAGGAUAGCCUUUAUUGAUUCAAUUUUCUUAGUGCAUGAUAACUAAAAGGUUGUAAGGCUCCCAGGUAAGUUGGUAACCUAACUCAAGUUGAUUAUGAUCGAAAGUUGAUUGUCGGAAUCGUGAUGCCUACGUGGAGACCUCAGUCUCGGAAUCUUUAUCUUCUAGGGGAACAUAUUCUUUAAUCUAUUUUCAACCCAUGCAUGCAUAAUGGUGUGUAUAAUCAUGCAUGCAUAUGGAUUAUUGCAGCUUGGAGCUACCCCCAAUAUCUUUCAUGAUCACCAAGAGAUCGAAAGUUGACACGGAAUUGCGGUCAUUCAAGCCCUCUAGCUAGUAACUAACUACAUCAUGUUACCGGAUGUUUGAUACGUAGCUCGGCUUUUUUCUUCUUCUUUUUCCAAACACAAAAUACCCACACAUGGUUUUAGAAUUCUUGGUGGUAUUUCUUUUUAUCGAAACAGAAGCUUAGGCACAAAGAUAACUUUAGAAAUUCGAGGUUUCAUGGAUACAUUUAUAUAAUAAAUAGAAAAAUCAUUUAUACAAUUCUAUUCCUUCUUCUCACUGUUUUUUUAUUUAUCUUUUUACGUGGAGAUAUUUCUAAAUAUUUGUCUCUUUCUAAUGAAACACGUGGAUGCAUGUGCAUAUGACAAUGACUUGAAAGCAUAAUAAAUAAAAAUUGAAUCACUUUCGAUUGCUUUCUGAUCAUUGUUUAGAAAGCAAACGUAUACUUACCUUAUCCAGAUACAGGAGGAAAAGUAUCCGUACCCAACUUUUUAAUAAUCUUUAUAUAUUCAAAAUAUUUCUUUAUAACUUUUAUAUUUAAAAAAUAUACUACGUAGCUAUAAAAUAAAUUUGGAUCAAUAUUUUUAUUUCUGAUUCUAGCGUCAAUGAAUAAACAAAUAAAAUAAAUUUAUUUUUACACAUACAUAUAUUUUUUUAUUUUUUUCAGCUAAAUAAAAUAAAAUAUAAUGAAUAAAAAUAAUAUAAAUUUAAACAAGUAUUUUUAUUCCUAACUCUGACGUCACUAAAUAAAUCAAUAAAUUUAUGUUAUUUUUAUUCAUGCAUAUAUAUCUUUUAUUUAUUUAUUUUUUAAUUUUUUAAUUUUUUUUAAAUUUUUUUUGGGUUAGACUCUGCUCAACCCAUGUGAACUGGACUGGACCCAACAGGCCUAACCGGGUCCCAGGCUUGACCCAGCUGGCCAUUGUUUUUUCAGUUUUUACCAGCAGGCGUGCGUGAGCAGUUCACACACGCCUGCUACAGGAGCAUGUAAUUAAAAUGCAAGAAGGGAAAACGCGACUUACCUAGUGCUGGAAGUGGCGAUCCGGAUUUUCAAUCUUUCUUGGUCGUCUAUCCUUGCCUCAAGAUCCCUGUGUUCGUUCGUUUCCCUUCUGUCGGUGUAUUCCUUCUGUCAGCUGCUCGUUCCUCUCCCCUUUUUAGCUUCUUCCUCUGGUUUUGGAAACCGGCGCCGGAGAAGAAGAAGCCGAUUGUGAUGCUGGGGCUUUCGUCUGUGGGUUUCUUAUUUCCCUGUCCUCCUCUCUGCCUCUGUUCUCAAAGAAAGAAAGAAACGCUUUGGUUCUUGUUGCUCGCAGUUGCAGAAGACGAUGACAGUGUAGAAGGGCUAUCCCACCAACACUGCCACUGCCUUCUCUCCUCUGUUUUGUUUUUCUUGAACUCUCCCUUCUCCCUUUUCUUUCCUUACGCUCUCCCUCUCCCUGUUUUUUCGUCUCUGUCUUUUUGUUCUCUGCCGUUCGUGGCCCUUUAUUUUUCUCCUAGUCCCCAGUUUUUCUUUCUUUUGUUCGUUGCUUUUUUUCUUUAACCUUCUCUGUUUCCUUGAGAAGAAACAGAGGAACCCAAGUCUGUUUUUUCUUUUCUCCCCAGUUUCUCUUCCUCUUCACCCCCUGUGCCGGUUCUCCUUCUCUGGUUUUUAUAACCAGAGAAUACCAUGCGGUUGCAUGGAUUUUAAUGCAAUGAAGGCAUCCGUUUUCUUCUUGUUUUCGGGUGAAGAAGAUGAACAGUGCUGAUGUUAAUGGCCAUUUGCGUUUUGAUCCUUGACAUUUUGAAUUUUUGCAGUCCAGUCCUUGGGUAAAUUGUACUUAAACCCCUGUACCUCAGAGUCAUUUACACAUUGGUCCUUUAUGUUUAAUAUGUUGCAAUUGUGCCCCCAAUUAACCCCAAACUUUGCUAUUUCUUCAAUUAAGUCCCUGAUUUCAUUAAUUUAAUUAAAUCCAAAGUCCAAUUAAGUCUAAAACUUAUCAAUUCUCCAAUGAUGCCCCUUAUUGAAUUAAUUAAAUUAAUUUCAAGCUUAAUUAAAUCUCAAAACUCAUCAAUUCUCUAAUCAAACCCUUGAUUGGAUUAAUUAAAUCAAUUUUAAGCUUAAUCAAGUCUCAAAACUUAUCAAUUCUCUAAUUAAACCCUUGACUUGAUUAAUUAAAUUAGUCCAAAAUUUAAUUAAAUCUUUAAACUUCCAAUCAUGUUGCCUUUAACUCGAAUUUUAAUUUAUUUUUUAUUUAUUUCAUUAUUUUUUCAUCAUUCAUCAUUUUCAGUAAAUAAAAAUAAUAAUAAUCAUUAAAAUAAAAGGAUCAAAAAUUGGGUUAUGGCAAUACGCAUGAAAGUUUUUAGAACUUAGCCAUAUACACACAAAUAAAAAUAUAUUUUUGUAUUUUUUUCAAAUAAUAUUUUUUUUUUAAUUUUUUUAAAAAAACAAAUAUUUUUAAUACCAGAUUGAUAUGUCUAUAAAUCAAAUACUAAAUUGGUAGAAAAACUGCAAGGAACCAAAAAUAAUUUUAAAAUAAUCUUGAAAUUCUUUAGAAUUUUGGAAAUCACAUAGGGUUUAUUUGGCAAAAUAAAGAAAAAAACUCAUAAAAGAAAACUUAAACAAAGUAUAUGCACAACUCCAAUGACAUCAGAUCACACAAAAGAAAAUUCAUACCUAAGAAAAUUAAUCAAUCCAAACACGUCCGCUCCUCAACACAAACAAAUCAAGAUUUGAUUAAAUUUACAACAAAAUCUUUUUCUAAACUCAAAUAAGCAACAAUAUCCUCGUGACCAAAUAUUAACCAAAUCUCAUCCACGCAAUUAUUUCAGUGUUAAACCAAUUUUAUCUACAAAUUAAUCAACAUGUAAAUCAUGGAAAUAAUAAUACAUCAUGCUUUAUUCAACAAAUUCUAAAGAUCAUGUUUUGAGAGCUUAAGAAAUGGAACUUAAAAUGGAGACCAAAAACGUUGCUGGACGAGAAAUGUGUCGCUGCUGUGAACUAUUCUCCUCUGUUGCUCUCGGUUUAUAAAACAAUAUGCAAGGCUACUGGAUCUUGGACUGCUAUUAUUGCUUCUCGUGGUUGAGUGAGACACUUGCUGCUUGCUCACGGUGGAACCAGAGUUGCUGAUGAAGAUCAAUCUCUGCUGCUAUUAUGAGAUGGUUGGCGUUGGCGCUGCUAAUAGAGUAGGUGCUGCUACUGCUAACUCACGAUUGAUGCAGAGGAGACUAAGGCUUAGCUGCUGUUGCACAGCUGAGAAGAAACUCUUGUUUCUGGAAGGGGGAUGAUGCUGCUGAGAGGAAUUGCAUGAGGAUGUCGGUCACUUCUGUUGAACCGCUGAGGAGAAAACUGCUGCUGCUGGAGAUCAAACCACGCUGCUGCUCUUGGAUUGGAAUGGAUCUCUUGUGGUCAGCUGAAACUGUUUGCUGUGGAGAACUUGCUGGACAUGGCUGCCGGCCUGAGGAAGAGCAAAUGGAACACUGGAGGCUCACAGUUCAGCUGAGCAAGAAGAAAUUAACUACUGGAUGUUGCUGGACUAUGGAAGAGAUGGUUGUCCGUGUGGUGGAUGCUGCUGUUGACUACAAUGAAGGGCUGGAGUAGAAAUGGUCAGUUUUUACUAGGAGGAGAAGGUCUUGGGUUUUGCUAAGACAGAGAAGAUGGAGGGAAGUGAGAGAGAUAGAGGUUCUGAAAUCAGUGUAUGGAGGUUUGGCUGGUGUCAAAAACGAAGAAGAAAACAAAUAGGGAGUGUAUGAUUGGCAAGUGUGGGGGGCACUAUUUUUUUUUUUUUUUUCUCUGGGAGAGGAGAGCGUGGGGUUAGGCCAUUUUUGUGUGCCUUCUCUAACAUGUAAUAUUAAUAUCUAUUUAUAGGUAUUUUUUUUUAUUUAUAAAAAAAUUGUUUUUUUAAUCAAGUAAUCUGAAAUCAUUUUAAUCCCUUUUUUUUUCUUUGCACUUUUGGUUCUCUUAUCUGAAUUGGUUUUUUAAUUUUUUUAAAAGGCAAUGUUAAUAUUAAUUGAAUGAAAAAAUAAACAAUAAUUUUAAAAUAAAAACGUUAAUAAAUGAACAUGUUGUAAACAAGUUUUUGAAUUAAGUAUUUUUGAAAAGACAUUGAGGAUACCAAAAUGAUACAAAUACAUAAAAAAAAAUUCUCUUUUGAUUGCUAUUUUUUUUAUAAUUUUAUUGAUUUAAUUUUUUCAUACAAUAUUUUAUUAUUUUUCAUUUGUUUAUCCAAUCUUGGUUUUCAUUCUUUUAAUUGAUAUAUUGUUUUUUUUUUUUUUAAAAUUAUUUUAUUCUUCGAUUAGUCCUUAAUUAUUUUCUUUUAUUUAGUUUUAUAUUGGAUUUAGUUCUCAUUAUUUUAAUUGUUUUUUUUAUAUACUUUUAUGAUUGAAAAUUUUACUUCAGGAUUUUUUGCAUGGUUGCCUUUUUAUAAGGUGAUCUUGGUCUUAUAACUUGAAGUUGGUUUUAAGUUUGAUAUUUUUGGUUUCUUUAUAUUUUUUUUUCAAAUUCAUCAUUGGAAAUUGCGUUAUUGGACCUUAGGCUUUGUUAUUUGUUCCAUUUUUUUUUGUGAGGUUAUUAUAAUCUUACAUCUCAUGUAGUAGAUUAAUCAGGUUAACUCGAGUUGAUUCUUUUUUUUCCUUGAUGUUUAUUUAUAUAUUUUUUUUUAAUUUUAGCAUUUGACAUUAAAUUAUUGACAUUUGAGCUUUAUGAUUUUAUUUUUUAUGGGUUAACCUUAGUAUGAAUUAGUCAAGUUAACUUGGGUUUUAUAGCAUUAGUUUUAUUUAACUUCAAUCUUUUUGCUAGGUUUUUUUUUUUUUAAAUAUAUAUAUAUAUAUAUAUAUAUAUAUAUAUAUAUAUAUAUAUUAUGGGUGGCGAGUUAGCUAAAUUAACUCAUGUUAACUUGUUUUUUUUUUUAAUUUAAUUUUUUUAAUUUUAUGAUUUGAUAUUAAAUUAUUAAUUUUCUUUCUAGAAGCUAUCUAAAUCUUAUAUUUCAGAUCAUAUGUUAAUUAAAUUAACUUAAAUUGAGUUGGAUUAUCAUCUUUUAUACAUUCUUAUUUCCCAUUAAAAAAAAUCUAGCCCGGUCUGCCUUGGACCACUAGCUACCUUUGUAGUUUACCCUUUAUGGAAUCUUUGCUUGAUUUUACAGGCGGUGACAUCUUCUUCUUCCUAUUAUAAUUAUAGUAAAACUCGAGUAAUGAGUGCACAUUGAUCAAUUCAUAUCUCAUCCCUUCAACAAAGUCCAAAAGAAAUCACACAUGCCUCAGAGCAUCAAGGGUGUUGCCACCGGCCACCACACCAACGGUAUAGUUCAGUUCUAGGCCGAUUUAUCAAGCAGCUCAGGCGUAUGAUCCUGUAGUGCCAUAUGAAGCUUCUUGUCAGUAAUGUAUCUUCAACGUCAAAGCCAUCAGCAAGACGAUUCAUGCAGCAGACACCGAACGUGAUUCGUUGGUAUACAAUAUAGAUUGCUUAAUCGAACAAAAAACAUGCAGAAAUAUCCAGAUAAUGCAAGAUUUAGCUCUGUCUCUCUCUAGAUAUCGUAGUGCUAAGCUGUGAAAGCCUAAAAAUAAAAUAGGCUACUUGAGGAAGAUCUGGAUGUGUAGAGUGAUAGUAAUGGUAAGGAAUUCUCUUUGUGGUUGCAUACUAAAUAUUUAGGCUCCUUAUUAGUUUUUAGGCUCCAGCUAUGCCUUGUACUGCUCUUUGUUUUGUUUGUGGUUGGAUUAUGCUUCAUGUUCUAUUACUCGAGUCUGAGCUUUGGACGUAGACCCCUCAAUCUGUCAAUCAAACUAAACAUGAAUCUCUAUCCCGUCUCAAGCAUAAAAAAAAUCUAAAAAAAUAGAGCGAGUGCAGGAGGUUUUGGAAAUGCCAAAACUAACAUGAUUUGAGGACAGCGCAAAUAUAUCUCAAAUAUAUAGCAUGAAUAUAAAGGCAAUCAAGAACAGCAAUACAAUCAAGCAGAAGCACAUAUAUAGCAUGAAUUUAAGGAAGCACACCACGCUUGGAUCUCUCUAUAUAUAUACAUGCCCGCUCCAACAUGCAAAUAAUAACUAGUUAGCUCGAGGCACAUCAACCCAAACCUCCUCGCCGAACAAGAUGAUUUUUCUCUUAGCUUCCACCCUGAACUGCGACCCGAGGCGAUGGUCAUCCUCACGAAGAAGAACAGCCCUGUCACCAACUCUCAGUCCAUAGUCGGCAACUAAUUGAAGCCAGCCUAUAGAAAGCACUGGCUUGUCGUAAUAUCCUUUUCUCUUCCUGCAACGAAUGACCCGAAGCUCACCGCUGCUGUCUUUGACGUUCAAAUCAACAAAAAAUUCCCCUGCGAAAUCAAGAUACUGUAAGGAACGAGUUGGGAAUGAGAACUGAAAUUGGAUAUCAGUAUAUUUUAGCUCUUUGUUAAACACCUCCAUCUUGAUUUCUUUGGGACUUGAAACGAGAGAGAGUCAGAGAGGGUACAUAUAUACGAGUAUACUUAAGAAUAGUCCAAAAAUAAAAUACUUAAGAGUCAGAGAGCGUUAUGCUCACCAUCACAAAGUGCGCGUCUGUCCACUUAUUGUCCAAAAUUUUUUGAAGUAGACUUAGUCCACAAUAAUAAGUCUUAUUGUCCACUUAUCUUUGGAACAAAAACUUUUUGUUCAUUUGGAGUCCAAUACUUUUUGUGCAUGAACAAAAACUUUUUGUUCAUUUGGAGUCCAAUACUUUUUGUGCAUGAACAAAAACUUUUUGUCCAAAUGAACGAAAACUUUUUGUCCAAAUGAACUAAUGGCACAGCAUUAAGUUUUGGACAGUAUGAACAAAAACUUAAAUGAACAAAAACUUUUUGUCCAAAUGAACAAAGAGCUAAAACUUUUUGUCAUUUGGACAGCAUUAAAUGAACAAAAAGUUUUUGUUCAUGCACAAAAAGUUUUGGACUCCAAAUGAACAAAAAGUUUUUGUUCAUGCACAAAAAGUUCUUUCUAUAGGCUGGCUUCAAUUUGUUGCUGACUAUGAACUGAGAGUUGAUGACAGGGCUGUUCUUCUUUGUGAGGAUGACCAUCGCCUCGGGUCACAGUUCAGGAUUGAAGCAAAGAGAAAAAUCAUCUUGUUUGGCAAUAAGGAGGUUUGGGGUGAUGUGCCUCGAGCUAACUAGUUAUUAUUAUUUGCAUGUUGGAGCGGGCAUAUGCAUGUAUAUAUACAUGCACAAUAGAGAGAUCCAAACUAUAUAUGUGCUUCCUUAAAUUCAUGCUAUAUAUGUGUUUCUGCUUGAUUGUUUCUAGUCAUAAUUAAUUAGCAUCGUUCUAGCUAAUUAAAUGAUUGUAUUGCUGUUCUUGAUUGCUUGUUCAUCUAUGUAUUUUGAAAUAUAUUUGCGCUGUCCUCAAAUCAUGUUAAUCUCCAAAACCUCCUACACUCGCUCUAUUUUUUAGAUUUUCUUUAUGCUUGAGACGGGAUAGAUUCAUGUUUAGUUUGAUCGACAGAUUGAGGGGUCUACGCUCAAAUCUCAAGCUCGAGUAAUAGAGCAUGAGGCAUAAUCCAAGCACAAAAAAAAACAAAGAGCAGUAGAAGGCAUAGCUGGAGCCUAAAAAACUAAUAAAGAGCCUAAAUAUUUAAGAAAUGUUCGAUAUAAUUAUAAUUUAUCGGUACCACUAACCUCUUUUAAAAAAUGGGUGUUCGAAUCGUGAUUCGAACAUCACUUCUGGGACUCUAAAAAAGUUCGAAUCAUGAUUCGUGUUGUAACCCAUUUUUGGGUCCCCAAAUAAAUGAAAUAAAAUAAAUAGUCAAAGGAGGAUAGAAAAAUAAUAGGAGGCAGAAGCGCUCGGCAAAUGGUCAGAAAAAUCGGUCAAGGAGGUUAAAAAUACAAAGAUUGGAUUUUUGAUAGUAUAUUCUUGAAGGAUGAGAGCCCUGUUGAGAAGGAAAUUUGAAUUUUGAGGAGAAAAGCCCAAAUUUGGAUGUUUAUGGACUUAAUUGGAUUUUUAUUGAAUUUAUAGGGAUUUGAUUGCAAGAAAAAUUGUUUUUUAAGUCAAUUUGGGCUUUAAUUGGAAGAAAUUUAAGUUUUGGGGCCAAAUUAUAAUUUUUAGGAAUUUAUUAAGUCAAAUCAGGGGUAUAAUUGCAUAAAUAUUGAAGUUUAAUGGCCAAUUAGGGACUUAAUUGAGAAAAUCCGAAACUAGGGACCAAUUUGGAAAAGGUGCCUUAAAUUACUGUUCACUUUCUUCCUCAAAAAGCUGCCUGAGUGGCUGCUUUCCAGGCGCGUUUUCCGGCUCGUGUGGCCUCCAAAUCCGACACAACAUACACCAACAUGUCCACAUGCAACCCCUUUAUCCCGGAGAAUGAUCAGGUCGGGUCGAAAAAGUCAUAAACGGCUCCGGUGAGUGGCUCAAUGUGGCCACCUCGGGCAGUUCACAGCCUGGAGCUGCCAAAUUUGGCAGCUCGAGGUGCACACUUUGAGCCAACGGUUGAGAUGCUUCCCAACUGAAUCAAGGGCUGAAAUUUUUCCCCAACGUAGAAAAGAUUGCCCUCUUCCACAGCCUAUAAAUAGAGUCGGAUUUGAUGAUCUGAGGGUCCAAAGUCAGCCAAAAACCAGCAUUUCGCCCAAUUUCUACAGAUUUUUCUUCUUCUUCUUUCUUCCUCUGCAACAGGAAACCGACGCCGUCUUCCUCCAACUCCACCGCUGCAACCACCGGCUGAACCACCUCAUCGCAGCAGCCACAACCUCUUCGGCCAAGUGAGCCCCUCUUCCUUUCCUCCUCCUUCCUUUUCCUUUCCUCCUCCUUCCUUUUCCUUUCCUCCUUUUUCUUCUUCUUCUUCCUCCCUGUCUACUGUUCACUGCAUGAACAGUAGGCGUGAAAUAUAAUUCACGUCCUACUGUUCACGCAGGACGUGAAUUAUAUAUAUAUGUGUGUGUGUGUAUUAUUAUAUUAUAUAUUAUAAUAUAUUAUAUUAUAUAUGUAUAUUUUUUCUUUAAAAAAAAUAUAUUUUGAAAAAUCUUAAAAAAUAUUGUUGAUUUUUCUGCAUGUUUUUGUCAAAGUGGUUUAAUGUUGGUUUGUAUUCUUAUACCGUAAAGAUACAAAACCAGUGUUAAAAAUACCCGGUUUUCGUCAAAAUAUCAAAGAUUUUCAGAAUAAAAAAUGUUUUUGCUUUCAAAAAAAUUCUAAAAAGUCCCUAAAAAUGUUGUUGAUUUUUCUGCAUAUUUUUAUCAAAUUGGAUUAAUAUUGGGUUGUAUUUUUAUACCGUAAGAAUACAAACCCAGUAUUAAAAUACCCGAUUUUUGUUAAAACAUCAAAAAAUAAAUAUUUUCCAAAAAAGGGUUUUGUUUUCAUGCAUACGGCCUAGUCUCUCCAAUAUAUAUAUAUAAAUAUUAUAACAUCAUAUUUUCACACAACAAAGAAAAUUUUCAAAACAAUAUAUGUAUUAGCAUGCAUUUUGGCUUUAAUAACCAGUUUAUUUAAGUCAUGAGAACUAGGCCAAUAUUUCAAAAAUUCAAAAAAUCUUUUUUUGUUUUCUUUUAGUAUUUGGGAUUACGAAUUUAUACGUAAAACGUAUUCCUAAAUAUUAUUAAUGAAAUUUUGGUAUGGACGUUAGAACGGUUAGGAUUUUACCCGAUAAGAUAAAGCCUUUCUUACCGAGGAGGAUUUUUCUUGAACCAUAGACAGACCAACAACUAGGAAAACACGAAAAUACCUUAGUUUUUAUCAGACAAUAAAACAAUGCAGCUUACCUUAGGUAGGGCGUAUUUGGGGUGCUAAUACCUUCCCUUUACGCAACCAGUCCCCGUACCCGAUCUCUGAGACCAGUUAGGGUUCCUAGUGACCAAAAUACUAGGUGGCGACUCCCAUUCCAUUUUCUACCAAUAAAAGACAAUAUUUUCUUGUAUCCCUAUAGAUAUAGAUAGAUUUACAUUGUAGAUUAAAAAAAUGGAAAAACAUGUUAGAUUUUCGCCGCGACGCCGCACACGUGCGACAAUUCGAACAUCACUUUCUGGGACUCUAAUCUGCAUACCUUAUCCAUUAUCAUUUGCCAAAACCAUCCAUUUUUUUUAGAGUCCCAGAAAGUGUACGCCUUCUAACUUGGAAUAAUGGAUCGCUUCCAAAUGAUAAUGGAUGGUUUGGGCAAGGAGUUAGCUUGGAAUAUAUUAUAUGGAGAUUAGUACACCCCCAACUUUUUUUUUUUUUUGGUAAUCGAGGUGUCCGGGCCAGCUUGCGCGCACCACAACUAAUCCCCGGGCUCACUGAAUAUCCUGCAAGCCCAAUGAGCAUGUAAGGCACCGCGGGGGUGACAGGCGUACACAUAGAGGAUCAAACCCGGGAUGGGAGCGGAACAAGUCACAUGAUUGACUACAGCAGCGGGACCCUCAAGUGUAGUACACCCCCAACUUUAAUAGUAUUAGUCCGUGUAACAUUAGUAAACAUGUACCACUGAACCUUUCAUUUAAUUUGUUUUUAUUAAAUUUGAUUUGAUUUUUUUAAUUUAUUUUCUCAAUUUCAUAUAUUAUCAUUUUAUUUUAUUUUUUAAUUCAAUUUUAAUUUUGAUUCUUUUAAUUGAUAUUUUUUUUUUAAUUUUAUUUUUUUUUUAAUUUUUUCUUACAACAUUUUAUUAUAUUUAAUUUGUUUAUUCAAUUUUAGUUUUUGUUCAUUUGAUUCUGUAUUGUUUUCGACAGCUUCAAAGAAGCAAGCUUACACUUAUUUUUGGACUCUUCUUGAGUAUACUCAUUAUAAAUGUCUCUCUCUUUUCACGUCCCAAAGAAAUCAAAAUGGAGGUGUUUAACAAAGAGCUAAAAUAUACUGAUAUCCGAUUUCAGUUCUCAUUCCCAUCUCGUUCCUUACAGUAUCUUGAUUUCGCAGGGGAAUUUUUUGUAGUUUUUUUUGGCCAAUGGAGAAAAGGACUUUGUUGAACGGAUAAGAUAUGAAUUGAUCAAUGUGCACUCAUUACUCGAGUCUUACUAUGAUUAUAAUAAUAAUAAUAAGAAGAAAGUAGCGUUUACAACUUUUUGCCGAAUACUUUUGUAGCUUGGCCGACAAGAAAAUUAUAAUUAUAAUAUCAAAUAAUAAAAUUAAAAAAACAUUAAAAAAAUCAAUUUAUAUUAACUUUACUUCCCCACUACAUGAUAUAUAAAAUCAGGAUAAUUCAAUUUUUUUUUAACAAAGUUAAAGGUUUAAUAACCCAGAAUCCAAUAAUAAAUUAAAAAAAUAUAUUUUUAAUAAAAAACCUAAAAGGACCGAACUUAAAUCGGUUCGGAUCAUUAAACACCUUAAGACCAGCAUUAGAGUUUUUUAUUUUAAAGACAAUUAUGUCCCUUUACUGUUUAUAUAUAUAUAUGCCUUUUUUUGCAAAUUUAUAAUUUUAUAAUUUACACAAUUGAAAUUUGAAAUACCGGCUCAGAGUUAUUAUCUUAAGCUCAAUACUCGCAUGCAUCUUUAAGGAAAUAAAUGAAAAUUAUAUUGAAUCUCCUAUAAUUUAGAUGGUUUUUUCAUUUUGCUUUAAUUGCUUGAAAAUUUGUACUUUACAUCAGAACACCCAUCAAAUCAAGUAAAAUGAUAUUAUUACAUUCAUAUAUAAUAUAUUAAAAAUUUACUGAAUCAACAGAACACCCAUUCUAUAAUUUUUAAGACUACUUUUAUCUGCCAACAAUAUAAAAGGCUAGAGAAUGUUGAGCAUUCAGCAGCACGACAUAAACUAAGUGUUUCCUAUCACUUCUUGUUCAACAAUAUAAACUGUUUUUGUUAAAAUAUAAUAUAUUUCUUAUAAAUUUUUCUUUUCUAUUUUUUUAGUUUCGAGAUACUAUUUUCGCAAAGAGAUUAACACGCUUGCUCUAGCCCUCUCUAGAAAACCCCCAAAUCAUGCUUCAUGGAUUAGGAAUGAGCAAAAAAAUUAAAAAAUCAAUUAAACCGGAAAAAAAAUAACUAAAAAACUGAAAUGUAAAAAAAACUAAUUAAAAUUUUAAAAAAAUCAACCAGUUCAGUUUCAGUUAUAUAAACCUACAAUAAAAAAAACCAAACCUAACCCAACCCAACAAAAAAAAACCAAGUUAAACCGGAAAACUCGAGUCAAACUGGUUUGAACCUGUUUUUAUCUUAAAAAACAGAACCAAACCGAAACCAGUUGGUUUGAACCGGUUUCUGUUUAGUUUCGGUUUUUUUUUUUUAAAUUCGGUUUGAUUACUUCUUUUUUAUAAAAAUCGAGUCGCACCGAAAAUAAUCACCCAUACUAUGGGUGCUAUUUGAGUUAUUGUUGUUAUUUUUCAAUGAUUUUUCUGAAUUUAUUAUUAUUUUUAUAUUUUAUGUUAGUUUUUUUCUUUUAGGGAUUAUAAUUUUUCUUCCUUGUUAAAUUCGGUUUUAGAUCUAUUUAAAGGCUUAUAAACCUUUAAGAGAGAGAAAUGCUUAUUAGAUUUUGUAUUUCAGAAAUAAACCUAGGAAUUAGGUUUUUGUGUUCAACAUGUUCGGUCAAAACUCCAUCUUUCUUGCCUCGUGUCUUCGUAUUUGUGCUUCAUUUCUUGUAAACGAUUAGCAGCUUCUGGGCAAGGUCCUGCUUGUAGUGAUCUGGGAGUCAGGCCAAACCUCGAGUCCAGGACUGCAGUCUAAGCUCAAGCCAGAUGACAAGGUUGCAUUGCGCAGUGCUUGCCCAAAAUAGACCAGUCAGGGGCGGGGCAACCAUGAGGAGAUUUAAACAGGAAAGUGCCUCUGACACAGCAAAAAUUAUAAAUAUAGAAACACUCUCAGAUCCUCAGUGACCCCUUUUUACCUUUUCAACUUGUGAACUCUGCAAUCUCUGAGGAUACACUGCUUACAAAAACUUAGUGCCAAUGCACUUGUGGCUUUGGUCUUAGACGACUUCGAGUUCUUGGUGACUCGGGAGUAUCAUGACUGGAUUGUGCUGUCAAGAUUGAGUUCAUAACGAGUUAAACAUCAAUUUAUGUAUUUAUUUUUUCAUUUAAACUCAGCAAGCUUAGUCAAUAAAUGCAAGAUUUGCCUAUAGAAACACAAAUUAAUUCAAAUAAGCCUGUUUGUGACGUACGCUCAGAUGCAGGUGUUGUGAUUGGAUGUUAAGAACGACGCUAUUCUCUCACAUUCACCCUUGAGAGAGAGUUAUGAUGUUACUGUUACUCACCUGGAGUUUCUCGACUUCCCUAAGAGCUCUCUCUGUUUUCAUUUCUUGAACUUCCAUGAACGUGAGCAUUUCAUAAUGUAUCUCCAGUUCAAGUGUCUAAAGCAUUUUUUUGCUCUACGUGAAAUCACACUUUUGCAGUUGAUCCAUAGGGGCUGUAAAACCGCUUUGCAAAUGAAUAAAGGUCGCCAUGAAUAGGGGUGGAGUAUUGCUUACAGCUUGAUCUCUGCAUGGACACAUAAUUUGCAAUUGCAUAGCAAUGUAAUCUUGUUAAUCUCGAAGAUUUCCCUUCAAGGAUGCUUAAACACGGGAGUUUUUGGAAACAGAAAGAGCUUGUCUUGCAGACUGUCGUUCCCAUGGAGUCCCGUUAUUGAUAAACGACCGCAUUGAUGAUGCAAGUGAAGCAACAAGUUUGGUAUCUAUCUUUAAGGUGGCGCCGAAUAGUGUUUCAUAAAAAUUCAAAACAAAACAAAAAAUGUAAUGUAAGCAUUGAAUAAUUUAUUUUAUUUUAUUUAAGCACAUGAAAAAUCAACAAGAAUCUCUCAUACAUAUGAUUGACAAUGAACAAGUUCUUUAUCUCAUGCAAAACCAGAAGUCCUAUCACGCAGCUUAUUUUGACCCUUCUAAGGAAUCCUACCCUCUGAAACAAGGGCAUGCAAUCCAUUCAACAUGUCAUUUAGACGGAAUAGAGGGCCCAUCAUGUCAAGGGCAUAUCGAUCUUUUUCGCUCUACAUGCAAUCCAUUCUCAUAUAUAUGAUUGGCAAAUGCAAUGGUAAUAUUGCUGUAAAAAGAAGGGCAACCAUAUGAACCUCAAAUUUGAGGGAUAUAUGUUCGUACUUGCCUGUCGACGAUGCAAAUCUUACAAGCCCAUGUGUUAGAUUCUUUGAAAUGCAGUAACCUUCCCUCUGUUAUUACAUUUAUGUAGUUCUUGGCACUGUAUCCUGAGUGCUGAACUGCAAAAGCUACUUAAAUAGUGUUUGAUAUCGUGGUGUUAGUGAUAUCAAACACUAUUUAAGAUUAGGAAUAAUGAAGUAAUAAGAGUUGAGGGUACCAAUAAACCUAAAAAUACUCCAAUCUAUAUAUGUAUAUAAGUUACCUGAUGCAAUCUGUUCAAUGCAUGUGUGGAUUAGUAGGAUUAUAUUCAUAAGACUAAAUUUCUUUCUACAUGCAUAGAUUUAUAAAAAUGAAACUCGAUCAUGAGAAAAAUAUAGUCAUGUGGCAGUUGUUUAUGUUGGUAAGAUAAUCAUGAGAGAAAUAGCUAGAGAAAAACAGGUGAAGAAAAUACUAGUUUAUCUGGCUCUAAGGGGAAUUGUGCUUGGGGGCAGUGGACCCUGGGGAAGAAAAUUGUCAUAGACGGCACUCUGGUCAAUUGGAGCUGUCAUGCUGGCAGAAAGAGUGGUGGCAACUGCUGAAGUAUUAGUGGUGGCAGC
rnacentral:lncRNA from 1 species